rnacentral:lncRNA from 1 species
CCUCUGACCCAUCCUGACCUCUGAACCUGACUACCUUGUCCCUGCAGUCCAAGGUAGCACCAUGGAUAGAUAACCAGUCUAUCCCUAGAAUGACGUCAAAAUCUGUCAAGUCUAGAACCACAAGGUCGGCGGACAAGCAUCUUCCCUCAACAAACACAGGACUACACUGGCAGACUGACUCUGCCACUGAUGGAUCACACUUGGGUCCAC